rnacentral:rRNA from 1 species
UUCCACUCAUUGGUACAAACUCCAAACAUUCUUCCAAAUUCGACCUCAAAUCAGGUAGGACUACCCGCUGAACUUAAGCAUAUCAAUAAGCGGAGGAAAAGAAACCAACAGGGAUUGCCUUAGUAGCGGCGAGUGAAGCGGCAAAAGCUCAAAUUUGAAAUCUGGCACUUUCAGUGUCCGAGUUGUAAUUUGAAGAAGGUAUCUUUGGGUCUGGCUCUUGUCUAUGUUUCUUGGAACAGAACGUCACAGAGGGUGAGAAUCCCGUGCGAUGAGAUGACCCAGACCUAUGUAAAGUUCCUUCGAAGAGUCGAGUUGUUUGGGAAUGCAGCUCUAAGUGGGUGGUAAAUUCCAUCUAAAGCUAAAUAUUGGCGAGAGACCGAUAGCGAACAAGUACAGUGAUGGAAAGAUGAAAAGAACUUUGAAAAGAGAGUGAAAAAGUACGUGAAAUUGUUGAAAGGGAAGGGCUUGAGAUCAGACUUGGUAUUUUGUAUGUUACUCUUUCGGGGGUGGCCUCUACAGUUUACCGGGCCAGCAUCAGUUUGGGCGGUAGGAGAAUUGCAAAGAAAUGUGGCACUGCUUCGGUAGUGUGUUAUAGUCUUUGUCGAUACUGCCAGCCUAGACUGAGGACUGCGGCUUCGGCCUAGGAUGUUGGCAUAAUGAUCUUAAGUCGC